CUAAGCUUGACAUCCUUUUGACCGAUGCCUAAUCGCAUCUUUCCCUUCGGGGACAGGAGUGACAGGUGGUGCAUGGUUGUCGUCAGCUCGUGUCGUGAGAUGUUGGGUUAAGUCCCGCAACGAGCGCAACCCUUGCCUUUAGUUGCCAUCAUUAAGUUGGGCACUCUAGAGGGACUGCCAGGGAUAACCUGGAGGAAGGUGGGGAUGACGUCAAAUCAUCAUGCCCCUUAUGCUUAGGGCUACACACGUGCUACAAUGGGUGGUACAGAGGGCAGCGAAGUCGUGAGGCCAAGCUAAUCCCUUAAAGCCAUUCUCAGUUCGGAUUGUAGGCUGAAACUCGCCUACAUGAAGCUGGAGUUACUAGUAAUCGCAGAUCAGAAUGCUGCGGUGAAUGCGUUCCC
rnacentral:rRNA from 1 species